rnacentral:rRNA from 1 species
UGGCGUCUUUGGUUAACUUAGUGUCUGGCGGCAAUGGUGACCCUGCGGAGGGAUAAUCGGUUGUCGUGCGAUGCUUGGUAUGGCUAGAGGUUCGCUGGUCUUAUAGUCAUCGCUUUAUCUGACCCGUCUUGAAACACGGACCAAGGAGUGUUUCGCUUACGCGAGUCUUAGAGUGUGUCAAAACUUUGAGGCGUAACGAAAGUAAAUGUGGAUUUAUUCACUGACUUGGGAUGCGUUGUCUUUUUUGGAUAGCGUUGGACCAUGGUUUUAUCGUAAUCGCUUGCGAUGCGGUGAAAAUAGAGCGUAAGCGGUGCGACCCGAAAGAUGGUGAACUAUGCCUGAGCAGGAUGAAGCCGGAGGAAACUCUGGUGGAAGUCCGAAGCGGUUCUGACGUGCAAAUCGAUCGUCUGACUUGGGUAUAGGGGCGAAAGACUAAUCGAACCAUCUGGUAGCUGGUUUCCUCUGAAGUUUCCUCA